UUUCAUCAUGGCAAUCGGAAUAUUUUUUUUCAAAAAAAAAACGAAAAACGAAAAAAAUAAAUAAUAAUAAUAAUAAAUAAAUAAAUAAAUAAUCUUGGACUUGGACCUCUCUCAUUUAAGCCCACAGGUCCACAAAAAUCAGGUUAUAAAUUCAGAGUUUCAGUGAAACAAAAUUUCAUUCUAUUCCUAUUACCCUGUCUGGGAAAA
rnacentral:lncRNA from 1 species